CCUACGGGAGGCAGCAGUGGGGAAUAUUGCACAAUGGGGGAAACCCUGAUGCAGCGAAGCCGCGUGAGUGAAGACGUAUCUCGGUACGUAAAGCUCUAUCUGCAGGGAAGCAAAUGACGUUACCUGCCUCAGAAGCCCCGGCUAACUACGUGCCAGCAGCCGCGGUCAUCCGUAGGGGGCACGCGUUAUCCGGCGUUACUGGGUGGAAAGGGGGCGGAGACGGCGCGGCAAGUCCGGAGGGAAAGCGCAGGGCGUAACCAUGGUACUGCUGUGGAAACUGUAGGGCUUGAGUGCGGGAGGGGCAGGCGGAAUUCCUAGUGUAGCGGUGAAAUGCGGAGAUAUUAGGCGGAACACCGGCUGCGAAGGCGGCCUGCUGGACCGUAACGGACGUUGAGGCACGAAAGCGUGGGGAGCAAACAGGAUUAGAUACCCUUGUAGUC
rnacentral:rRNA from 1 species